GACGAACGCUGGCGGCGUGCCUAAUACAUGCAAGUCGAACGCAGUGGGGACGGGUGAGUAACACGUGGGUAACCUCCCAUCAGAGGGGAUAACACUUGGAAACAGGUGCUAAACCGAUACUGAUGGAGGAACCCGCGGUGCAUUAGCUAGUGGGUGAGGUAACGGCUCACCAAGGCCACGAUGCAUAGCCGACCUGAGAGGGUGAUCGGCCACACUGGAACUGAGACACGGCCCAGACUCCUACGGGAGGCAGCAGUAGGGAAUCUUCGGCAAUGGGCGAAAGUCUGACCGAGCAACGCCGCGUGAGUGAAGAAGGUUUUCGGAUCGUAAAACUCUGUUAUUAGAGAAGCGGUAUCUAACCAGAAAGCCACGGCUAACUACGUGCCAGCAGCCGCGGUAAGUC
rnacentral:rRNA from 1 species